UCCUCCGGUGCCUACUGAGCUGAUAUCAGUUCUGAUUUUACACACUGGCUCAGUUCAGCAG
rfam:Cariama cristata contig3348, whole genome shotgun sequence.